CCUACGGGAGGCUGCAGUGGGGAAUAUUGCACAAUGGGCGCAAGCCUGAUGCAGCCAUGCCGCGUGUGUGAAGAAGGCCUUCGGGUUGUAAAGCACUUUCAGCGGGGAGGAAGGCGUUAAGGUUAAUAACCUUGGCGAUUGACGUUACCCGCAGAAGAAGCACCGGCUAACUCCGUGCCAGCAGCCGCGGUGAUACGGAGGGUGCAAGCGUUAAUCGGAAUUACUGGGCGUAAAGCGCACGCAGGCGGUCUGUCAAGUCGGAUGUGAAAUCCCCGGGCUCAACCUGGGAACUGCAUUCGAAACUGGCAGGCUAGAGUCGUGUAGAGGGGGGUAGAAUUCCAGGUGUAGCGGUGAAAUGCGUAGAGAUCUGGAGGAAUACCGGUGGCGAAGGCGGCCCCCUGGACAAAGACUGACGCUCAGGUGCGAAAGCGUGGGGAGCAAACAGGAUUAGAUACCCCUGUAGUC
rnacentral:rRNA from 1 species